rnacentral:rRNA from 1 species
UACGGAGGAUCCGAGCGUUAUCCGGAUUUAUUGGGUUUAAAGGGUGCGUAGGCGGAUUUUUAAGUCAGCUGUGAAAUUUCGGCGCUCAACGUCGGCACUGCAGUUGAAACUGGAAGUCUUGAGAGUGCAAGAGGCACGCGGAAUUCAUGGUGUAGCGGUGAAAUGCAUAGAUAUCAUGAAGAACCCCGAUUGCGAAAGCAGCGUGCUGGGGCAUAUCUGACGCUGAGUCACGAAAGUGCGGGUAUCAAACAGG